rnacentral:tRNA from 1 species
CAGGAUUUUAUUUUAUCACACUUAAGCGAUAAGCUUGAAUGGGGUUCAAGUGGUCGUAGGUUCGAAUCCUGUCAUCCCGACCA